rnacentral:rRNA from 5 species
UGACCCCCUGGGAAGUCCUCGUGUUGCAACCC